rnacentral:lncRNA from 1 species
GGGGUCUGUUUAUAAAAGAGCAUCAACUCGCUUAGGCCAUGACGUUCACCCAUCCCUUCCUCUGGAGCAACCGCUGCCCUGUGAAUAAGAGCCGAUGGAGGAGAUCUCAGCUUCGGUGGUGAUGACAGAACAUGAUUUCGGUUCUGCUCCUAAACCAGAGCUGACUGAACGAAGUGGACUGCUGGAUUUACUGGAGCCAGGAGAUGGCUGCAUGGCAGACAAGGGUUUCACCAUCGAGAAGCCACUAGCUGAUCGUGGGGCAACGCUGAUUAUACCACCCUUCAAGAUGACAGGUAGGCAUGAAAGGAAUGAACAUUUCAAAUUAAAACUUUGACCCAAAUGUGACCAUUAAGAUAUGCAGACAAAUGUUUAAGAUGGACUGAAGCACUCACAAUAAUAUUACUAAUUAAUUUAUCUCUAACCACUGCGCAGUUCACUGAAGAGGAUGCUCUGAAAACACAAGCAAUCGCUCGACUUCGAAUCCUCGUAGAAAGAGCAAUAGGCAGAGUCAAGGAAUACCGCAUCUGGGAACGCACUGUCCUUUCACCUUGUCUGCGACAGUCAAUCAGCUGUGGACCGUCUGCUGUGUGAUGACCAACUUCCAGGGACCACUUGAUUUAAAAGGCUACAUCCCUGUUGAAUAGUGUUUCUACUCAAACAUGUACCUAUAAAUAUUAAAUAUAAUAUAUAAAUAUUAAAACGAGAGGCACUGAACAUUUGGAGUGGUCCCUUCAUUUUUUCCAGAGCUGUAAUUUUGUACACUGAAAACAUUGUAUAUAUUGAAUGACAUGUAAUGUAAUUGAAUGAGAAGUCUUUCAUCUAUAAUCAAUUUUAAAGUCCAGUCAGUCCAUCCU